rnacentral:lncRNA from 1 species
AUCGAACACUACAUCAAUGACUCUAAUGCAUUGUUAAGAUAAAACUACAAACACAUUAAUAGUGCAUUCGGACACCCAAAUUAUUCUUCAACCUUCAUUUACUAACACAUGCAACUUUAAUCAAUCCAUUGACCUACUUCAAUCAGCAUAAAAGAAACUUCAUUCGUGUACCUCAAUAAUCUUUAAUUAAGAAAUACAUUUCCCAAAAAAUAAAUCAUUAAAUUUAACAAUUCACAAAACAAUAUAAUCGCAUUUCUUCAUGACAUCAAAAUAUGAUCCCUUUACAGCAGCACAUUAAGCAUUUAAAUCGAACGUAAAUGAACACAUUUUAAAGACUACAAAUCAGCCCUUUACAGCAGCACAUUAAGCUUUUUAAUAGAGCGUAAAUGAACACAUUUUAAAUAUGCUGAAUCUUCCUUGUCAAAGUUGUUGAAUCUUCGUUGUCAAAUUUGUUCAUUUAACAAGUUAAAAAAAAAAGUUCAAGAGAGCUUACCAAACUUCCCAAAACGAUUCCUACCUCUUCAAGCCUUUCCUUUACCCUUGCCACCGAGUUCUUCUCCCUCUCCUUUAGCUAACAUAUCAGCAUAAUAACAAAAUGGAACACUAUUAAUUCAUCUUUUCUACCCAAAAAUAAGCAUGCAUGUACUAAAAAGUCAGCUAGAACCACUCUCCUCCCUACCAUAAAACCUUUCGCUUAGAGAGUUUAAGGAGGAUUACCGCAUAUGUGAAAGAAGAAGAGAAUAGCUUCACUUAGAACACUCCUACGGUAGCAGAACAUGCAGUCGAUCAGCUCCCUAAUUCUGGAUACGAUAGUCAUUGCAAUGGAAGGAAAAAAAAAAAGAAAGGAAAUGUUGUGGAGUUACUCUUCCCUUUUUCUUUCAAACUAACGUGAAUAUGGAGCAAGAUGAAGCUGCCCCCAUUUUUUUUUCUGUAUUACUAUUGUUUUUAUUUAUUUUUUUCCACAAACCUCCUCUCCUAGGCCGCCGGCUCCCCCAACCCCAAGACAUGCAAAACCCAAUACCC